GAUGAACGCUAGCGGCAGGCUUAACACAUGCAAGUCGAGGGGUAGAAGGAGCUUGCUCCUUUGAGACCGGCGCACGGGUGCGUAACGCGUAUGCAAUCUACCUUGUACAGGGGGAUAGCCCAGAGAAAUUUGGAUUAAUACCCCAUAGUGUAACGAAAAGGCAUCUUUUUGUUACUAAAGUUCCAACGGUACAAGAUGAGCAUGCGUCCCAUUAGCUAGUUGGUGUGGUAACGGCACACCAAGGCAACGAUGGGUAGGGGUCCUGAGAGGGAGAUCCCCCACACUGGUACUGAGACACGGACCAGACUCCUACGGGAGGCAGCAGUGAGGAAUAUUGGUCAAUGGGCGCAAGCCUGAACCAGCCAUGCCGCGUGCAGGAUGACGGUCCUAUGGAUUGUAAACUGCUUUUGUACAGGAAGAAACACUCCCUCGUGAGGGAACUUGACGGUACUGUAAGAAUAAGGAUCGGCUAACUCCGUGCCAGCCGCCGCUGUAAAAC
rnacentral:rRNA from 1 species